UACGGGGGUGGCGAGCGUUACUCGGAUUUAUUGGGUGUAAAGGGCAGGUAGGUGUCCCUACAAGUUAGAAGUGAAAUCCUAAGGCUUAACCUUAGAACUGCUUUUAAAACUGUAGGGAUUGAGGCCGGCAGAGGAGAGUGGAAUUCCCGGUGUAAGGGUGAAAUCUGUAGAUAUCGGGAGGAACACCAGUGGCGAAAGCGACUCUCUGGGUUGGCCCUGACACUAAGCUGCGUAAGCUAGGGGAGCAAACAGG
rnacentral:rRNA from 1 species